rnacentral:sRNA from 2 species
CGUGCGCACGCGCCGAAUCCCGUAAGGGAACCGGGGAACCACCACCCUGGGGUGAAUCACGCGGCUGCCUAGGUGAACUCCCUUGAGUCCACGCCGGGUAUACGCGCGUAGGAGACCUUCCUGCUCCGAACCCGUCAGCUAACCCGGUAGGCGGAGGAAGGAAAGGAGCG